rnacentral:rRNA from 1 species
UAUUAAAGUUGUUGCAGUUAAAAAGCUCGUAGUUGAAUUUCGGGAUUGACACAUCGGUCGUGCCUUAAGGGGUGUGAACUGGUGUAGUCAAUUUCUCACCUUCUGGAGAACCGCGAUGUCCUUAAUUGGGUGCCGCGAGGAACCAGGACCUUUACUUUGAAAAAAUUAGAGUGUUUAAAGCAGGCAUUUUUGCUUGAAUACAUUAGCAUGGAAUAAUAAAAUAGGACGGCAUGAUUCUAUUUUGUUGGUUUCUAGGAUCACCGUAAUGAUUAAUAGGGAUAGUUGGGGGCAUUAGUAUUCAAUUGUCAGAGGUGAAAUUCUUGGAUUUAUUGAAGACUAACUACUGCGAAAGCAUUUGCCAAGGAUGUUUUCAUUAAUCAAGAACGAAAGUUAGGGGAUCGAAGACGAUCAGAUACCGUCGUAGUCUUAACCAUAAACUAUGCCGACUAGGAAUCAGACGAUGUUAAUUUUUUAAUGACUCGUUUGGCAC